rnacentral:rRNA from 1 species
GAGUUUGAUUCUGGCUCAGGAGGAACGCUGGCGGCGUGCCUAACACAUGCAAGUCGAGCGAGAAAUAGUCAGACGGAGAUUUCGGUUGAAGGAUGGUUAUGGAAAGCGGCGGACGGGUGAGUAACGCGUAGGCAACCUGCCUCAUGCAGAGGGAUAGCCUCGGGAAACCGGGAUUAAAACCUCAUAAGGCCAAGGGGACACAUGUUUUCGUGGUCAAAGAUUUAUCGGCAUGAGAUGGGCCUGCGUCUGAUUAGCUGGUUGGUGAGGUAACGGCUCACCAAGGCGACGAUCAGUAGCCGACCUGAGAGGGUAAACGGCCACAUUGGAACUGAGACACGGUCCAAACUCCUACGGGAGGCAGCAGUGGGGAAUAUUGCACAAUGGGCGAAAGCCUGAUGCAGCAACGCCGCGUGAGCGAAGAAGGCCUUUGGGUCGUAAAGCUCUGUCGAUAGGGAAGAAGACGAUGACGUACCNUCAGACG